rnacentral:rRNA from 1 species
AGAGUUUGAUCAUGGCUCAGGAUGAACGCUAGCGGGAGGCUUAACACAUGCAAGUCGAGGGGUAAGGUCUUCUUCGGAAGGCACACGACCGGCGCACGGGUGAGUAACGCGUAUGUAACCUACCUUUGACACAAGGAUAGCUUCCGGAAACGGAAAUUAAUACUUGAUAAUAUUUUAAGGUGGCCUCACAUUAAGAUCAAAGUUUCGAUGGUCAAAGAUGGGCAUGCGUGACAUUAGGUAGUUGGUAGGGUAAAGGCCUACCGGGCCGACGAUGUCUAGGGGGUCUGAGAGGAUGAUCCCCCACACUGGUACUGAGGCACGGACCAGACUCCUACGGGAGGCAGCAGUGAGGAAUAUUGCGCAAUGGACGAAAGUCUGACGCAGCCAUCCCGCGUGCAGGACAGACAGCCCUAAGGGUUGUAAACUGCUUUUCUGGAGGAAGAAAGUUAUCUAUUCGUUAGGUAAUUGCCCGUACUCCAGGAAAAAGCAUCGGCUAACUCCGUGCCAGCAGCCGCGGUAAUACGGAGGAUGCAAGCGUUAUCCGGAAUCACUGGGUUUAAAGGGUGCGCAGGCGGAAUAGCAAGUCAGAGGUGAAAGGCUUGAGCUCAACUGAAGAAUUGCCUUUGAUACUGUUAUUCUUGAGUGUAGUUGAAGUGGGCGGAAUAUAGCAUGUAGCGGUGAAAUGCAAAGAUGUGCUAUAGAACACCAAUUGCGAAGGCAGCUCGCUAAACUAUAACUGACGCUGAGGCACGAAAGCGUGGGGAGCGAACAGGAUUAGAUACCCUGGUAGUCCACGCCGUAAACGAUGAACACUCGCUGUUGGCGAUACACCGUCAGCGGCUUAGCGAAAGCGUUAAGUGUUCCACCUGGGAAUUACGAUCGCAAGGUUGAAACUCAAAGGAAUUGACGGGGGCCCGCACAAGCGGAGGAGCAUGUGGUUUAAUUCGAUGAUACGCGAGGAACCUUACCUGGGCUUGAAUGCAUAUUGACGUACUGUGAAAGCAGUAUUCCUUCGGGCAAUUUGCAAGGUGCUGCAUGGUUGUCGUCAGCUCGUGCCGUGAGGUGUCGGGUUAAGUCCCAUAACGAGCGCAACCCCUACCUUUAGUUACCAGCAUUACGGAUGGGGACUCUAGAGGAACUGCCUACGCAAGUAGCGAGGAAGGCGGGGAUGACGUCAAAUCAGCACGGCCCUUAUGUCCAGGGCUACACACGUGCUACAAUGGACGGUACAGAGAGCAGCUACACAGCGAUGUGAAGCUAAUCUCGAAAGCUGUUCACAGUCCGGAUUAGAGUCUGCAACUCGACUCUAUGAAGCUGGAUUCGCUAGUAAUCGCACAUCAGCCAUGGCGCGGUGAAUACGUUCCCGGGCCUUGUACACACCGCCCGUCAAGCCAUGGAAGUUGGGGGUACCUGAAGUCGAUUGCCGGAUCAAGGCGUUGCCUAGGGUAAACCCAAUGACCUGGGGCUAAGUCGUAACAAGGUA